rnacentral:rRNA from 1 species
AACGAACGCUGGCGGCGUGCCUAACACAUGCAAGUCGAGCGCGAAUAGGGGCAACCCUUAGUAGAGCGGCGCACGGGUGCGUAACACGUGGAUAAUCUGCCUGGAUGCCUGGGAUAACCAGUCGAAAGAUUGGCUAAUACCGGAUAAGCCCACGGUCUCUUCGGAGGCUGAGGGAAAAGGUGGCCUCUGUAUACAAGCUAUCACAACCAGAUGAGUCCGCGGCCCAUCAGCUAGUUGGCGGGGUAAUGGCCCACCAAGGCGACGAGGGGUAGCUGGUCUGAGAGGGCGAUCAGCCACACUGGAACUGAGACACGGUCCAGACUCCUACGGGAGGCAGCAGUGGGGAAUUUUGCGCAAUGGGCGAAAGCCUGACGCAGCAACGUCGCGUGUGUGAUGAAGGUCUUUGGAUUGUAAAGCACUUUCGACCGGGACGAAACCGUAAAGCCUAAUACGCUUUGCCUUGACGGUACCGGGAGAAGAAGCACCGGCUAACUCUGUGCCAGCAGCCGCAGUAAGAC